AGGGUUCGAUUCUGGCUCAGGAUGAACGCUAGCUACAGGCUUAACACAUGCAAGUCGAGGGGCAGCAUGAUCAAAGCUUGCUUGAUUGAUGGCGACCGGCGCACGGGUGAGUAACGCGUAUCCAACCUUCCCCUUAGUAGGGCAUAGCCCGGCGAAAGUCGGAUUAAUACCCUAUGUUAUUCGUCGAGGACAUCUGAAGUGAAUCAAAGAUUUAUCGCUAAGGGAUGGGGAUGCGUCUGAUUAGGUUGUUGGCGGGGUAACGGCCCACCAAGCCAUCGAUCAGUAGGGGUUCUGAGAGGAAGGUCCCCCACAUUGGUACUGAGACACGGACCAAACUCCUACGGGAGGCAGCAGUGAGGAAUAUUGGUCAAUGGGCGAGAGCCUGAACCAGCCAAGUAGCCGUGCAGGAUGACUGCCCUAUGGGUUGUAAACUGCUUUUAUACGGGGAUAAAGUGAGGUAUGCAUACCUUUUUGUAGGUACCGUAUGAAUAAGGACCGGCUAAUUCCGUGCCAGCCGCGGC
rnacentral:rRNA from 1 species